UACGGAGGAUGCGAGCGUUAUCCGGAUCUAUUGGGUUUAAAGGGUGCGUAGGCGGUCCGUUAAGUCAGCGGUAAAAUUGCGGGGCUCAACCCCGUCGAGCCGUUGAAACUGGCAGACUUGAGUUGGCGAGAAGUACGCGGAAUGCGCGGUGUAGCGGUGAAAUGCAUAGAUAUCGCGCAGAACUCCGAUUGCGAAGGCAGCGUACCGGCGCCAGACUGACGCUGAGGCACGAAAGCGUGGGGAUCGAACAGG
rnacentral:rRNA from 1 species